UCGUAGUUGAACCUUGGGCCUGGCUGGCCGGUCCGCCUCACCGCGUGCACUGGUCCGGCCGGGUCUUUCCCUCUGUGGAACCCCAUGCCCUUCACUGGGUGUGGCGGGGAAACAGGACUUUUACUUUGAAAAAAUUAGAGUGCUCCAGGCAGGCCUAUGCUCGAAUACAUUAGCAUGGAAUAAUGAAAUAGGACGCGCGGUUCUAUUUUGUUGGUUUCUAGGACCGCCGUAAUGAUUAAUAGGGACAGUCGGGGGCAUCAGUAUUCAAUUGUCAGAGGUGAAAUUCUUGGAUUUAUUGAAGACUAACUACUGCGAAAGCAUUUGCCAAGGAUGUUUUCAUUAAUCAGGAACGAAAGUUAGGGGAUCGAAGACGAUCAGAUACCGUCGUAGUCUUAACCAUAAACUAUGCCGACUAGGGAUCGGACGAUGUUGUUUAUUGACUCGUUCGGCACCUUACGAGAAAUCAAAGUGCUUGGGCUCCAGGGGGAGUAUGGUCGCAAGGCUGAAACUUAAAGAAAUUGACGGAAGGGCACCACCAGGGGUGGAGCCUGCGGCUUAAUUUGACUCAACACGGGGAAACUCACCAGGUCCAGACACAAUAAGGAUUGACAGA
rnacentral:rRNA from 1 species